UCCGCCGCCAUCUUCUCUCUCCUCCCCUCACGACGGCGACAACUCGACGCCCGGAGACUCCCGCCCCGGCAGCCAAGAGUUGAGAGAUCAAACAAGUAGCAUCAUAGCGCUGAUGACAGAAGGACAAGUGUCGUGAUGGAUGAAAAGCAAUAUGGAUUCUGAAGUUCGGUGGAGGAGAGGAGCCUCAAAUGUUGGGAAACAAAAUCGCUGCCACUUCUUUGGCUGGUAAUGGGUCUUUUACUUCACUUGUGCUUGCUUCAGGCUCACGGCACUGGAAGAGAAGAGGAACAGAAGUCAAACUCAAAGUUCAAAAUCUGGGAUGUUUAUUCCACUGUUGGUGCAAUAGAACAAGAAAAAAAUACCAGAACACAUCGGGACUGUCUUAUCAACCCAACUUUUUCGGGGAAGGGAACCUGCCAUCAAUGCCCCUGUCCCACUUAGGAAACCUGAACGGAAACCUCUGGAGACUUUGCACCCCACACAAGGUUUCCGUGCGGUUCCCGGAGGUUCCCAGAGGUUUUUGUCAGUCUCCCUACCUGCUUCCACUACCUGCAACCUCCGGCAACCACCUGCAACCUCCGGGAACCGCACGGAAACCUUGCGUGGGGUGUAAAGAGUUUUCCUAAGUGGGACAGGGGCAUAACUUGGCCUGACGUACACAUGUAUCAGUCUCAUUUUCAUGGUGCUUUUUGUGGUGGCCCACUUGCUAGGAAACACUAUCAUUCAUUUGUAGACUAUAAAUUGUGUAUCGAAUUCUCUGCUGGAGUAGAAACAGUGCCUCCACCACAUCACCCCACUUCACCUUUUUGAUUUUGAAUCAAAUGAGCCAAGAAUUCAGGGAAAAUCCCAAUAUUACAUAAUCAAGGACGAGUCGCACACACUGCCCACUCCCUCUUCUCCCCUCUCCCAUCAGGCAAAAGGUAUAGAAGUGUGAAAAUGUACACCUCCAGAAUUAUGGGGUUUCUUCUCAGCUGUUAUCAGGCAACUGAAUCAACCCACCACAAUCAGAGAGCAAUUCUGAACUAUCUACCUCUCUGGUGACCCUCGGAUCAUCCUUGAUCGGACUUUGCUGGCUUUACUAAACGUUAUUCCCUUAUCAUCCCUUAUCUACAAACUGUAAAUGGAUCGAUUGUAAUCAUGUAUUGUCUUUCUGCUGGCCGGAUAGCAUGCAACAAAAGCUUUUCACUGUACCUUGGUACACGUGACAAUAAACUAAGCUGAUUCAAUGAAUUCAGUGCUUAGGCUCUCAUUAGUCUAGGGAAGGUCGAAUAAUGAUCUGAACAAUAUUUUUACAGAGCCGUAGAGAGAUGCAAUUUGGAAACUGGCCUUUUGGCCAACUGAAUCCUUACCGACCAUCAAACACCACUUUUCAUACACUAAUCGAACCAUAACCCUGUUCUGGCCUCCCUCCACUGGCUCCCAGUGCACUUUCGAGUUCAUUUUAAGAUACUGUUAUUUGUUUUUAAAUCUCUGAAUGGGCUCGCCCCGCCUUACCUCUCUGAGCUGCUCCACCCAUACACUCCUGCCCGGUCCCUCAGGUCAGCUGGUCAGCUGCUCCUGGAGGUACCGAGGUCCAGUUGGAGGCUCAGAGGGGAUAGAGCCUUCUCUGUUGCUGCUCCGGCAUUCUGGAACACCCUGCCGUUGCACAUCAGACAGGCCCCCUCACUGUCCAUCUUCAAAUCCAGUGUUAAAACACAUUUGUACUCCCUGGCUUUUGACCGUGCCUGAGUCUUUGCUUCUGUUUUUGGUGUUUUUGAUGUUUCUUUAUUUUACAUGUCUUUUCCUACUAUUUCUUUUGAUUGUUAUUUUUGGUGUGUAUUUACUUUUUUUUUGUCAACGAUUAGUGAUGUACAGCACUUUGUUGCAACUAUGUUUGUUUUUAAAGUGCUCUAUAAAUAAAAUUAUUAUUAUUAUUAUUAUUAUUCUACCAAUAUUCCCAUCAUUUCACAGCCUCCAACAUUCUACCACUCACCUACGCACCAUUGCCAAAUAACCUGCCAAUCUAUACAUUUUAGGAUAUGGGGGGAAGCCAGAGCAAACCCAUGUGAUGAAGGGACACAACGUCAUUGAUCAGGCUUGAAAGCACCAUUGGUAGCUGGAACCGUGAGACAAGAUCUACUAAUAGCAACAAUGUGCUGGCUGUUUCUACCAGUAUGAUCAUCAGCGAAGGACAGGGCAAGGCUCAGCCUCAACUGUCACCGUGUUUACUUGUCCGCUCGCUGCCACUCAAGAGACUCUUAAAAGCCCAGGUUCAUAGAACAAGAUGUCCAAGAAAUAAUUUACCAACAGAAAACAGAACCGUUGGGAGAUGUUCAUAUUGGGAAGAGGGAAAUAACAUUCCAAAUUAAUUUUACGGAACUACUCGAUUUGCAAAUCAUCAUCGUCGUCGAAAAGAUCAAUGCCUCUGUACGACAGUGAUCGCAACUUCUACUGAAGUGUGGUUGGCCAUUGGCUUGUUAGAAACUCAUCCACCCUUUGACAGGUCUGGUUUUUGUUCCUGCUGGGGGGCCACAGCCCCCUCCUCACCUGGCAAACCAGGUGGGGGAGACGGUUUGGUCGACGACUAUCCGACCAUGGAGCGGGUAGCACGAGAUUAUAUGGUAC